AAAAAAGAAAUAGUUGAGUAUCGCAUGAAGAGCCCAAGGUUGUUCAAUCUAACUGGACAAACAAUGAUGAAAACUAACCAUCCAAGGAUGUGGUGGCAAUUUGUUGGUGGUGAAUUUCCUAUGAUUCAAAAAGUUGCUUGUAGAAUCUUGAGCCAACCUUGUAGUUCCUCUCCUUGUGAGUGUAAUUGGAGUGCUUGGGAUGCAGCACAAACAAAGAAGAGAAAUAGUUUGGCCCCAAAAAUGUUAGAAGAUUUGGUGUACAUCAGGAUGAACUCUAUGAUGAGAGAGAAGUAUGAAAACCAAAUACUUCAAGAU